ACAGGGACAACUCAACAUCCCCCCUCACGCCCAGAUCUCUGGAGCGUGGACAACAUAAAUGAGGCCCAACAUCGGUAACAAUAAUUGGGAUGGGCCUGGCUCUGAUACCAUGAUAAGAAUGGACCUUGGGGCUAACUCAACGUCAAAAGCUAGCUUAUAAGGUGAGGAUUGCCCAAGCCAUAUAAGGAGACCAAGGACCUCAAAUCCCUCCGAUGUGGGACAACUCAACACAUCGAGUCAAGCAAAGGACAAGGAUAUCAUGACUAUAUAUAACCAGGGAAAGCUUUCAACAAGGGGCUGCUUCUCCUAUCUCUUUCUAAAAAGCAAAAAAAAACUCUCUUCUUGUAUUCUUGAUAGAGAAGAAGUGGCCUCUAGGAAAAUAUGUAAAUCUGCCUCCUCAUCGAUCGAUGGGAGAUACAACAUUAAAUCUUAAUGAGAUCAUUCAUAUUUCUUUCAUCCUAUAUGCGAUCCUUACCGAAAGCUCUUUGAUCUUGAAUUAAUUAUGUAUGACUAACAUUUACCCCUUCAUCUUUGAUUGAUUUAUUCAAAAAGGUUUUAAUACCUUUUGAGUCAAACACUAUCGCGGACCUGUCAAAGGUGAGCCUGUCUAAACUGUAAAGCCUUCCUCAUGCAUGCACGUUGUUAUCAAGCCUACAAACCAUCAUCAAAAGAGAAUUAGAAACAACUUCCAGCCCAAACCUACCAGAUUCUCCAUUCUCAAUGGCAAUCACAAUCAGCUGGAUGUUGAUCCCCCUCUUUUCUCUUGCCUUUUUAAUUCUGUGGUUACUGUCAGAAGUUUAUAAGUCAUUUGAACUACCAAUAUAUCUAGUAAUAUUUCUUUGUGACAAUUAUUUAAUUAGGUUUUGGUAGUGCUUUUCUGAAUUUUAAAGAUAGAUCAAAACUACUACUAUUUGGCAAUCAAAUUUAUGCUCACUUGUUUGGUUUUCGUUACUCUUUGAGUAUGAUGGUGAUUAAGGAGGCAAACUGAUUGAUUCCAGCCGAAAGCUGCUAGUAGUAAUUAAUGUCUUUUUAAUUAUCUUCACUUACCUUAUGGUGGUAAAGUAGAAACAUGAAUAAAUUCUGGAAGCUAGCAGGAUAAGACAUAGGUGGUCAGUGGGUCACCAUUAGGUCUCCCAUCUUUGAUUUUGUUUUUAGCCUUUUGGAGCAUUACUAUACUAACAGAAAUGUCCAAUUCAAGUAUGGUGUUCCCUACUCCUAAAGCCUAAAUUUGAGGAAAAUAUUGCAUGUAAGUUGCAUUGGUAGUGCUUAAAAUUCGAACCCCGCCACAUCCCAAAAACAAAUAGGAGUAUCGGAUAAGCCUAAACUUUAGAUAUGAGCACUUUAUGUUGUGCCCCACAAUCAAAUGCUGUAGCAUCUAGGUUAAACUAGGAAAAAUAAUUGACCCUUUUACAAAAUUAAAGGGAGAAACAAAUCACCUUCUUAUCAAGAAUUACGAAUGAAUUUGUAUCAGACAAAUUUGGUUUCCUACAUUCUCAUGCUAUCUAUGCACGUCCUUGACAUAGAGAUCGGCCCAACUGAUGCAGAUCCGAGUAAGGUCGACCCCAGUAAAUGAACGGACCGAGUGACGUGACCCAAGACGACGUCGUUUGAAGCUCUAACUCUACCGUACACUAAGACCACCAACUUCUGUACUCUUCUUUGAUUAUUUCAAGG
rnacentral:lncRNA from 1 species